AUACGUAGGGGGCAAGCGUUAUCCGGAUUUACUGGGUGUAAAGGGAGCGUAGACGGUUUGGCAAGUCUGAAGUGAAAGCUCGGGGCUCAACCCCGGAACUGCUUUGGAAACUGUCGAACUGGAGUGCAGGAGAGGUAAGCGGAAUUCCUAGUGUAGCGGUGAAAUGCGUAGAUAUGCCACAGAACGCCGAUAGCGGAGGCAGCUCGCCAGGCCUGCAUUGACGCUCGGGCACGAAAGCGUGGGGAUCGAACAGGAUUAGAUACCCUGGUAGUCCACGCCGUAAACGAUGGGCGCUCGUCGUCGGCGGCAGACAGUCGGCGGCCAAGCGAAAGCGAUAAGCGCCCCACCUGGGGAGUACGGUCGCAAGGCUGAAACUCAAAUGAAUUGGCGGGG
rnacentral:rRNA from 1 species